rnacentral:rRNA from 1 species
CUCAGAUUAAACGCUGGCGGCAUGCCUUACACAUGCAAGUCGAACGGCAGCACGGGGGCAACCCUGGUGGCGAGUGGCGGACGGGUGAGUAAAGCAUCGGAACGUAUCCUGGAGUGGGGGAUAACGUAGCGAAAGUUACGCUAAUACCGCAUAUUCUGUGAGCAGGAAAGCAGGGGAUCGCAAGACCUUGCGCUCUGGGAGCGGCCGAUGUCGGAUUAGCUAGUUGGUGGGGUAAAGGCCUACCAAGGCGACGAUCCGUAGCGGGUCUGAGAGGAUGAUCCGCCACACUGGGACUGAGACACGGCCCAGACUCCUACGGGAGGCAGCAGUGGGGAAUUUUGGACAAUGGGCGGAAGCCUGAUCCAGCCAUGCCGCGUGAGUGAAGAAGGCCUUCGGGUUGUAAAGCUCUUUCGGCGGGGAAGAAAUUGCACGGGUUAAUACCCUGUGUAGAUGACGGUACCCGAAUAAGAAGCACCGGCUAACUACAUG